rnacentral:rRNA from 1 species
CCUACGGGAGGCAGCAGUGGGGAAUAUUGGACAAUGGGCGAAAGCCUGAUCCAGCCAUGCCGCGUGUGUGAAGAAGGCCUUCGGGUUGUAAAGCACUUUCAGUGGGGAAGAAAGCCUUGGGGCUAAUACCCUCGAGGAAGGACAUCACCCACAGAAGAAGCACCGGCUAACUCCGUGCCAGCAGCCGCGGUAAUACGGAGGGUGCGAGCGUUAAUCGGAAUUACUGGGCGUAAAGCGCGCGUAGGCGGUCUGAUAAGCCGGUUGUGAAAGCCCCGGGCUCAACCUGGGAACGGCAUCCGGAACUGUCAGGCUAGAGUGCAGGAGAGGAAGGUAGAAUUCCCGGGGUAGCGGUGAAAUGCGUAGAGAUCGGGAGGAAUACCAGUGGCGAAGGCGGCCUUCUGGACUGACACUGACGCUGAGGUGCGAAAGCGUGGGUAGCAAACAGGAUUAGAUACCCUUGUAGUC